rnacentral:rRNA from 1 species
UACGAAGGGGGCUAGCGUUGUUCGGAAUCACUGGGCGUGAAGGGCGCGUAGGCGGCCGAUCAAGUCGGGGGUGAAAGCCUGUGGCUCAACCACAGAAUUGCCUUCGAUACUGUUUGGCUUGAGACCGGAAGAGGUUAGUGGAGCUGCGAGUGUAGAGGUGAAAUUCGUAGAUAUUCGCAAGAACACCAGUGGCGAAGGCGGCUGACUGGUCCGGUUCUGACGCUGAGGCGCGAAAGCGUGGGGAGCAAACAGG